AUUGAACGCUGGCGGCAGGCCUAACACAUGCAAGUCGAGCGAGCGGCGGACGGGUGAGUAAUGUAUGGGGAUCUGCCCUAAAGAGGGGGUUAACUCCUGGAAACGGUGGCUAAUACCGCAUACUAUCGGCUGAACCCAUAUGGGACUAGCUAGUAGGUGGGGUAAAGGCUCACCUAGGCGACGAUCUCUCGCUGGUCUGAGAGGAUGAUCAGCCACACUGGGACUGAGACACGGCCCAGACUCCUACGGGAGGCAGCAGUGGGGAAUAUUGCACAAUGGGCGAAAGCCUGAUGCAGCCACGCCGCGUGUAUGAAGAAGGCCUUAGGGUCGUAAAGCACUUUCAGCGGGGAGGCGGUACCCGCAGAAGAAGCAACGGCUAACUACGUGCCAGCAGCCGCGGUAAUUC
rnacentral:rRNA from 1 species